rnacentral:rRNA from 1 species
GCAGGCUGCAACUCGCCUGCAUGAAGUUGGAAUUGCUAGUAAUCGCAGAUCAGCAUGCUGCGGUGAAUACGUUCCCGGGCCUUGUACACACCGCCCGUCGCACCAUGGGAGUCGGUAACACCCGAAGUCGGUAGCCUAACCGUAAGGAGGGCGCCGCCGAAGGUGGGAUUGAUGACUGGGGUGAAGUCGUAACAAGGUAUC